UGCACACUUCCAUGCACAUCAUAUGUGGUAUCUCAGAUCUUUUAGUACAUAAAGACAUUAAUUCUGUUUAAACAUACAAAUUCUGCAGCCAAUAUUCCCAUAUAUGUAGCUGAUGCAGAGGACAAUAAGAUUUGCUUUUCUGGAGCUACGCUCUCUUUUGAAGUUGAAGAAAUAUGAAUAACUAGGGAGAAAAAUAACAAAAACUGAAAGUGGAUUAAAAAAUCUAGAUGGCGCCCUCCUUCUUUGCUUUUAAUUUUCCAGAUUUUCUUCAUGGGAAGGAAGCAAAUAGAAGGAGCCUGCUCUUAACAUUAAGAAAAUCUCUAGUUAAGUGCAAGACUGGAGAAACUGGAAAAAGAUGCUAAAUGCUGCCUUUGGGAAUGACGAUAUCUGUGACUUUUGUCAUCUUUCCCCCUAUUUCCUAUACUUCUAUUUAAUCUGUAUUGGAGCACGCGGUGAUUCACACGAUAAACAGUUUAGCAAAAUCCUGCUGAAGAUAGCCUGUGUUUCCACAGCACAUUGAAGGAAUUUAUUUUGCAUGAUGACAAAUCAUGAUUUUAAAAAGCAAACUCUAGACCUGCUACUUGCUAUACUGCUUUAAAAAAGAAGCCUGAAUGGCACAAUAUUGAGUACAUUUUUUUUAAAUCAAAUCCCUUAAAGUGUUGAACAUAAGAUCAAAGUUCUGGAGAGGCAACACCUUGCAGUGGCAGUGGAGGACUUGGGUCCAUGUGAUGCUCAGAGAACCAGAAGCUCCUGGAGUAUCAAUAUCCAAAUCAAAAAUAUAUUGUCUUUUGGCUGUGUCGUAUUUCUCCCAGCAAAGAAUAACUACAGUUUAGUAGUGCUAAUAAUGAAGAAAAAUGUUGAGAAAUUUAUUAUCAACUAAAAUUAAGACCUCUCUCUCAAGUUGGCAAAUAAAGAUUAGUGUGUUACUCUGAAGUGUGAACUCAAAGUAGGAUAUCUUCCCACAGGAGGAGAUAAAUUGUACACAGCCUUGACAUGAACUUCUAACAUUAAAAAAAAAA
rnacentral:lncRNA from 1 species